rnacentral:lncRNA from 1 species
CAAUAUCUGGGUUUCGUUUCCACUGGUGUGGAAAAGAGACAAACUGGUUCUAGAACAUUUUUCUAAGGAAACAAUAGUCAUGUAAUACAUAUAGCAGAGGCAAAUCAUCUCACAUCAAGAAAACAAAACAAAGAAUUAACUUCACUCUUGUAGCCAUUUUCAUUUGCUGAAAACUUAUGACACCGACGCCAGAAAGAAAUUUCAGCCAUGAAGAAGGAAAUAAGAAAACUUUUUUCAUCAGGAAUUCUGGGAUAAUUAUCAAGAAAAUGUUGGACCUGGAGCUGAAUUUUUGCAACAUUUCAAAUUAUUGGAUGAUGCUAGUGGAUGAGGCCCUCCACAGCAUCUUUUUUUUGGGAGCAAUCAACGAACCGCCAUGUUCUCCACAAGAGAUUGUGGACAACGAAAGAUUGGCUGAGUUGAAAGACCGUUUCCCAAAACCUUUCACCUGCUACAACUCUCAAAUACCCAAGCGUUGUCCAAUGUCAUGCUUGCUAGAAAUGAUUGUUGAAGACAUUGGACAAGAGAAUGAAAGCAAAAUAAAGAAGGAGAUGCGGCUAAUCUGCAAUGAAUUGAUGAGCGAUCAUAAAAUGAAAAUUCUGUCCUCGUUCACCAUCUGUGUCUGUCAGAAGGACCUAAAUGACCCAAAUUCAGUCAGAUAUUAUGGCAUCUCCAUGUCCACUUUUAGCGGCAUUUCUGGGAAGAUCAUGGUGGCUGCCUCCUGCUUGGCGACCUGGCACAGUAAUGUUGCUGAUGCAGUCAUGACCUGUAUUCUGAGAGAGGAACAGGAACAGUUACAUGGAACAAUCACGAUUGAAGAGCAAGGGGAGCCCAAGAUGUCAUACUUUGAUGGUACCAUACAGCUUCCUCUGAAUGUAAGGUGCCAGGCUUAUAAGAUCAGCAAUGGAGAUGAACUCUCUCCUUGUGUGUCAUGUGUUGAAAUGUUUAAAUUUAACAUACCUGGAAAGGGUAAUUCAUCAUAUGGCAACUGUGCUGAAGUUGGGAGCCUGAGUAACCUGCUUAAACAUGAGGAACAUUUUAAAAAUGAAGUACAACAAAUAUCUCCCACAUGCACCCCUUCAAACAGAGAGAGGGCUAAAACCGAUGUUAUGAAACUGCUUAAAGAUUUACUUGGCAAAAUAAAAAACAGGUUUAAAUGGGAUGAUAAAUUCUAUACUCCUGAAAAUCAUUACCCCUUGGUAAAUGGCGAAAACUCAGAGUGAUCUCUUAGAUUCCAGAGAUACUUUUUGAAAAAGCUUUUUGCUAAGUUUAUAGGCCCAAGGUCAAUUAUUUGUUGACAUUUGCUGAUUUUUUUUUUAUUGUUGCUCUGCAACACUUUGAGAUUGUUGAAAUGUAAAGUGCAAUACAAAUAAAGAUAUCACAUCUCUCCCGUUUUAGCCGCUCUUCACUGGCUGCCAGUAAAAUACAGAGUAGAAUUUAAAAUCCUUCUGUUAACACAGAAAGCUCUUAAUGGCCAAGCUCCAUCAUAUCUCAGAGAGCGCAUAGUUCCUCACUGUCCUAGCAGGCCACUCUGCUCUCCAGAUGAAGGUUUACUUGUGGUUCCUAGAGUCUCCAAGAGUAAAUCUGGAGGCAGAUCUUUCAGUUAUCAGGCUCCUCUUCUAUGGAACCAACUUCCAGUAUCCAAUAUCGGUCCGGGGGAGGACUCUUUAGCAAUUUUCAAGACCAGGCUUAAAACUUUUCUGUGUGACAGAGCUUAAGGUUAAAAAGUCAAAACUCCUUGCUGAUAUAGGCUUAGACUGCUGGGGGAAGCAUUGAAAACCUCUCUCUCUCUCUCCCUCCUUCCCCAUUGCAUGUCCCGACAUAACAACAACCAUGUUUCUCCGAAGUCCCUGUUUCUCCCAAAUUUAAGCAUGUGCAACUAUUUACUAACCAUGUUUUCCCAAAGUCUCUGUCUCUCCCAGUUUCUCUCCUCUCUCUCCCUGUCCCCAUCCUACAGGUGUUGAAUCGCUACACCCAUGUUCCUGCAACGCCUGCUGCUCCCAAAUCUUCGUGAACUCCAUUCAGCAUCAUUUCUAUGAACUUCAUUCAGCAUCAUACCUUCCUGCCCGACCCCACCCACCCUCCCACAUCCCAUCUCCCUCUCCCUCUCUCUCUCUCUCGCUCUCUCUCCCUCUCUCUCUCCCAAUCUCAACCCAACCGGUCGAGGCAGAUGGCCGUCCCCCCCCUGAGCCUGGUUCUGCCCAAGGUUUCUGCCUCUUAAAGGAAGUUUUUCCUUGCCACUGUUGCCAAGUGCUUGCUCAUCGGGGGAUCUGUUGGGUCUCUUUAAAUCAUUUUAUAAAGAGUUUGGUCUAGACCUGCUCUAUGGAACUUUGUUAUGAUUUGGCGCUAUUCAAAUAAAUCUAAUUUGAUUUGAUUGUGACUGGCAUUAUGUUGUGGCAAUUGUUCAGACACACUGUUGUUGUCAAUAUAACUAUGGAAGUCAUCCGUCUGUAAGCCCUGCAUGUCCAGUUUAAUUUUAUUUUUUAUUUAUUUUAUAUUCAUAUUCUGCUGGUCAGUGCUAAUUAACUAACACAAACCAACUUCUAAUACUAGAACUAACUUAGCUGGGCCAAGAAGAUCAUUGAGGCAUGUCCUUAGUUUGCAAGCUAAAGCAGUACGUCUGUAAGUCCAUGAACUGUAUCUUAUUUAAAAUAGUACAAAUUACAAGUUGUAUUGGAGUAUUCACUAGACUUCGCGCUCACAUAUAUAUAUAUAUAUAUAUAUAUAUAUAUAUAUAUAUAUAUAUAUAUACAUCAAAAGCAAAUGAACUCAGGCAAUUAUUAAAGAUAAUCAGCAGAAGAGCAGAAGUUUGAAACAUUUAGUAUGAAAUUGCUAUAGCUUGAAAUAUUAAGUCAAAAAAGGAGUUUAAAAAAUUGGUUACACUGUAUAUUAUUAUUUUCAGUAUAUUAUUUUCAGCCAUGUAUCCGUGAGGUGGCGGAGGGUUCUGAAGCCAAUCCCAGCUGACAUUCUGGACAUGGAUGGUUUUCUUUGCCAGUUUUCAUUUAACAUGAUGAAAAAAAACAUCAUCCCAAAGUUUCUUUCCUCAUACAGGUGGUUAAAUGUGUCAUUAUUGCAUGAGCUCUUCAGCCUCCGAUAAAACCAUAUAUAGAAAUAUCCUGCACACAAGACAAAGAAUGUCGUCUAGCACUAAACACAGGUUGGGUUCAUAACAAAAAGGGGGCGUAGUUAACUUCUUUCAGUUUCAUUUCUUUAGUUUCAACUUACGAUGGUGAGUAGUUGCUUUCAGGUUGUUUACAUUUUUGGAGUUUUAUAUCUUAGUAAAUAAAUUCUAUAUAGCUUAUUUCAUUAACAUGAGUGUGAAUUAUUUUUGUCUUGUAAUGUGUCUUCUAUUAUUUCUAAUGAUAUCAGACUUCUAGAGGAAAAAGAAAAAG